CUUGAAUAGUUUCAAGUGGAGAAGGACUCCUCUGUGCCCAUUAGAAGCCACACCAAAAAUAAAUGCCACCCCACCUCUUUUCAGCGUGUGAAGUUGGAGAGUCCUUCAUGAAAGCUCUUAACUAAUACGCAUUGCCUUAAAUUCUUAACCAGAUAUCCAUUGAUUUGUCACCAAAAUUAAGUGAAAUUUUUAUGACAUAUAGAAAAAAGAGAGUUCUUCUAUUGCAAGUAUCUCAUGUACUAAAAAUUCUACAUGAUGAAUUUAUUCACCAUGUGAGAAGUUGGAGUGCCAA
rnacentral:lncRNA from 1 species